GUGGGGAAUCUUGCGCAAUGGGCGAAAGCCUGACGCAGCCAUGCCGCGUGAAUGAUGAAGGUCUUAGGAUUGUAAAAUUCUUUCACCGGGGACGAUAAUGACGGUACCCGGAGAAGAAGCUCCGGCUAACAUCGUGCCAGCAGCCGCGGUAAUACGAAGGGGGCUAGCGUUGCUCGGAAUUACUGGGCGUAAAGGGCGCGUAGGCGGACAGCUUAGUCAGAGGUGAAAGCCCAGGGCUCAACCUUGGAAUUGCCUUUGAUACUGGCUGUCUUGAGUUUGGGAGAGGUGAGUGGAACUCCGAGUGUAGAGGUGAAAUUCGUAGAUAUUCGGAAGAACACCAGUGGCGAAGGCGACAUACUGGCUCAUUACUGACGCUGAGGCGCGAAAGCGUGGGGAGCAAACAGGAUUAGAUACCCUGGUAGUCC
rnacentral:rRNA from 1 species